rnacentral:rRNA from 1 species
UACGGAGGAUGCGAGCGUUAUCCGGAUUUAUUGGGUUUAAAGGGUGCGUAGGCGGCGCUUCAGGUCAGCGGUGAAAUACCGGGGCUCAACCCCGGGGCUGCCGUUGAAACCGGAGCGCUAGAAUUCCGAUGCCGUCGGAGGAAUGUGUGGUGUAGCGGUGAAAUGCAUAGAUAUCACACAGAACACCGAUAGCGAAGGCAGCUUACCAGACUGAGUCUGACGCUGAGGCACGAAAGCGUGGGUAUCGAACAGG